UUGAACGCUGGCGGCAUGCCUUACACAUGCAAGUCGAACGGUAACAGGUCUUCGGAUGCUGACGAGUGGCGAACGGGUGAGUAAUACAUCGGAACGUGCCCGAUCGUGGGGGAUAACGGAGCGAAAGCUUUGCUAAUACCGCAUACGAUCUACGGAUGAAAGCAGGGGACCGCAAGGCCUUGCGCGGACGGAGCGGCCGAUGGCAGAUUAGGUAGUUGGUGGGAUAAAAGCUUACCAAGCCGACGAUCUGUAGCUGGUCUGAGAGGACGACCAGCCACACUGGGACUGAGACACGGCCCAGACUCCUACGGGAGGCAGCAGUGGGGAAUUUUGGACAAUGGGCGCAAGCCUGAUCCAGCCAUGCCGCGUGCAGGAUGAAGGCCUUCGGGUUGUAAAGCUCUUUCAGCAGGAACGAAACGGUGGCUACUAAUACUAGCUACUAAUGACGGUACCUGAAGAAGAAGCACCGGCUAACUACGU
rnacentral:rRNA from 1 species